rnacentral:rRNA from 1 species
AGGAUUAACGCUGGCGGUAUGCCUAACACAUGCAAGUCGAACGGGCUCUUCGGAGCUAGUGGCGGACGGGUGAGUAACACGUUGGAACCUACCCCGAAGUGGGGAAUAACUGGCCGAAAGGUCGGCUAAUACCCCAUAGUCUUAUACUCGUUAUAAGUAAAGAAUUUCGCUUCGGGAGGGGCCUGCGUAGCAUUAGCUAGUUGGUGAGGUAAGAGCUCACCAAGGCUACGAUGCUUAGCUGGAUCGAGAGGUUGACCAGCCACACUGGGACUGAGAUACGGCCCAGACUCCUACGGGAGGCAGCAGUGAGGAAUCUUGCACAAUGGACGAAAGUCUGAUGCAGCAACGCCGCGUGGGGGAUGAAGCUUCUCGGAGUGUAAACCCCUUUCGACCCGGAAGAAUGCCCGCAAGGGUAUGACGGUACGGGUAUAAGAAGCCCGGCUAACUACGUGCCAGCAGCCGC